AUGGGGCAUAAUGUGAUUGCCCUGGGGGCGCCAUCCUUGUGCAGAGUGACGUCUGCUCAGAGAAAGCUAAAGCUAACAGGGGAGCAGGUCUCUGCAUCUGGCGUUUCCCCCCAUCCUGCGACAUUAACUCGGAGCAUUUCACCCCGCUGUGACACUGANCACCCAUCCUCUCUCCACCCCUAUUGUCUAGUUCUGAUGUGCUCUGGCCCCGCUAAUUCUAGGGCUGUACUGGCUUAUGCCUCUUUCAUCCUAGGAGGAAAGAAAGCUGGUCUUUACUAAUAAAAGUGUGAAAACUGAAAUGUCACCACUUUCAACACAAACAAUAUAUAUUUAUUGAAUGUAUGACUACAACAACUUGGAAUGACUGCCAGCCAUGUUUCCAAAUAUUUGAGGCCUAUUUAAGUAAAGAAGCAUGAAUAAUUUGAAACUGGAAUUUUUUUUUUUUUUUUUUNNNNNNNNNNNNNNNNNNNNNNNNNNNNNNNNNNNNNNNNNNNNNNNNUUAGGAGUGGUUGCCUCUGGGGAGUAGUAUCAGGAACUGGUCUGGGGACUUAGGCUGUUCAUUAUAAACCAUUAUGCAUGCUUUCUUUUUAAAAAUCAGAUGUAUGGAUUACUUUGACUUUUUAAAAAAUCCCUCCCUUAAGUAGGCUUAGUUCAAUUUAAAUAAAAUUUGCUGAAUGCCUUGUGCCAGACAUUGUGCUGGGCAUCUCAGCUCAGCAGCGAAGGUCCAGCUCUUGCUUGGGAGUUCAUGGUCUAGUUGGAGAAACAGAACAGACUGUAGGCAUUUUAAAAUAAUAUGAUGCCAGCUUAGAGGGAGGUCGCCAUGAAGUUAAGUGUCUCCCUCCCCAGAUAUUCUAUUCAUACAUUUAUUUUAAAUUUCUGUCUUUAUGAUGAGUGUAUGUAUCUGAACAGCAUUCUAAUGAUCACAGUUCUGGUUUUAGUGGAAAAAGAAUAGAUGAGACUUGAGCUAAUCUUACUUGAUAUGGAAGCCUCCAAAAUGAGUCAGAGAGAGAGGCAUAAAACCAGUCAUGAGUUUUAUUUUGCUCCUUUCUCUCUGGACAUGAGUGCAAACAGUGUAUACUGGGCCAAAAUCAUAAAUAGGAAUAGGCUGUGCUUGUCUCAGGACAUUUUCCAUUCCCUUAAGCCCACAGCUGCCAAUUUCUGUGUCCACAUGCACAGAAUUUUUAGUGACUUCCAAUGAUUCUAGUGCACCCAAGACCAAUGCCAUCUUAUUAUUAGAAGAUGUUUCCCAGCUUGAGUUAGAAGCAAGCUGAGCAUCUGUCUCAAGCCCUAAGUCCUUCUGGUUUUACUGACAAAGCUUCCAGAUUCAUCUGGGGUCUGGUAGACAGAUUUGAGUAAAUCUCUCAGCUUGUUCAGUAGCUCAUGAGGUUGCACUUUCCUCAAAGAGCAAAGCAGCAUUACUCUGUGUAUCACCAGAGUGUCCUGAGUCAUUCUGAUUUUUUAAAUAUUGUUGAACUAUAGCACUAAAAUAGCGUUGAAAUGAAGGUUCUUGUUUUGUGAUAUCUAGCUAUUCCUCUGUCUUGUUCAAGAGGAAAUUUUCUCAGUUCAGUUCAGUCGCUCAGUCAUGUCCAACUCUUUGCGACCCCA
rnacentral:lncRNA from 1 species